rnacentral:rRNA from 1 species
GUGGGGAAUCUUCCACAAUGGACGAAAGUCUGAUGGAGCAACGCCGCGUGAGUGAAGAAGGGUUUCGGCUCGUAAAGCUCUGUUGUCGGGGACGAAUGUGCAGUAUUUGAAUAAAGUAGUGUAAUGACGGUACCUGACGAGGAAGCCACGGCUAACUACGUGCCAGCAGCCGCGGUAAUACGUAGGUGGCAAGCGUUGUCCGGAAUUAUUGGGCGUAAAGGGAGCGCAGGCGGGAAGGUAAGUCGGUCUUAAAAGUGCGGGGCUCAACCCCGUGAUGGGAUCGAAACUAUCUUUCUUGAGUGCAGGAGAGGAAAGUGGAAUUCCUAGUGUAGCGGUGAAAUGCGUAGAUAUUAGGAGGAACACCAGUGGCGAAGGCGACUUUCUGGACUGUAACUGACGCUGAGGCUCGAAAGCCAGGGGAGCGAACGGGAUUAGAUACCCGGGUAGUCC